UAUGUUUACAUCCCUUAAUGCAUUCUGGAAGUGAGUUUGGAGUGCAUUGGCGUAAACCAGAAAUAUCUUGUAAAUGAUAAAAUUCAUAUUUAAGCACCGCCAUGCAUUCAUAUUAAGCAUGUACUCAAGAAAGAAAUCAUAUCUGUGUGAAGUAUAACAAAUUAAUUUUUAAUGAUGUGCUCCAUAUUCACACAAGAUAGAAACAUUAUGUGAGUUAGGUACAAAAUAACUCAUUUGAAAAAAAAAGGAUGUUUUAAUGGAGCACAUGUAUAUCCAUCCAGAAGAGAAAUCUCAUAUAUGUGAGGAAUGAUUGUUGAACCAUGUUGAGUUUGGAUAUCUUUUUCGUCUCGAUGUGAGCGAAGACUACAUAACCAUUUCAGCUUCAAGUCUUAUUCAUUUUAAUUUCAUAAGGUAAUUAUUCAAACAUGGUCUUUCUUUUUGAAAAAUCGUGAUAACCUCAUGAGUUAUGAAAUCCCAUUUUAGUAAAGGAGAAUACGCCCACAAAAGAAGUUAAACCAAAUUUGUGACCCUUAGGCCAAAGAAAUAAGCAAAAAAAGUGUUAAACAGUAGGACUUUAACAGAAAAAUAUGAAUUAACCUUGUAUAUAUUUGUUUGCAAAUAACAAUUUUAUUUUAAAUAUGGGCAUUUGAAUUUAGGAUUUUAUUACUUUAUUUAAGUAUACAGUGAAACCAUGGUUCAUUAAUGUAAUUCUUUCCUGAAAGCCACUUGUCUUCUCAUCAGUGUUUGUAAACCAAAAUUAUUUUCUUUGUAUUAUUAAUGUAAAAUAGAUUAAUCCAUUCCUGGA